AGCCCCUAGCGCAGACGGCGGAGAGCAGAGAGGGAGCGCGCCUUGGCUCGCUGGCCUUGGCGGCGGCUCCUCAGGAGAGCUGGGGCGCCCACGAGAGGAUCCCUCACCCGGGUCUCUCCUCAGGGAUGACAUCAUCCGUCCACCUCCUUGUCUUCAAGGACCACCUCCUCUCCAUGCUGAGCUGCUGCCAAGGGGCCUGCUGCCCAUCUACACCUCACGAGGGCACUAGGAGCACGGUUUCCUGGAUCCCACCAACAUACAAAGCAGCCACUCACUGACCCCCAGGACCAGGAUGGCAAAGGAUGAAGAGGACCGGAACUGACCAGCCAGCUGUCCCUCUUACCUAAAGACUUAAACCAAUGCCCUAGUGAGGGGGCAUUGGGCAUUAAGCCCUGACCUUUGCUAUGCUCAUACUUUGACUCUAUGAGUACUUUCCUAUAAGUCUUUGCUUGUGUUCACCUGCUAGCAAACUGGAGUGUUUCCCUCCCCAAGGGGGUGUCAGUCUUUGUCGACUGACUCUGUCAUCACCCUUAUGAUGUCCUGAAUGGAAGGAUCCCUUUGGGAAAUUCUCAGGAGGGGGACCUGGGCCAAGGGCUUGGCCAGCAUCCUGCUGGCAACUCCAAGGCCCUGGGUGGGCUUCUGGAAUGAGCAUGCUACUGAAUCACCAAAGGCACGCCCGACCUCUCUGAAGAUCUUCCUAUCCUUUUCUGGGGGAAUGGGGUCGAUGAGAGCAACCUCCUAGGGUUGUUGUGAGAAUUAAAUGAGAUAAAAGAGGCCUCAGGCAGGAUCUGGCAUAGAGGAGGUGAUCAGCAAAUGUUUGUUGAAAAGGUUUGACAGGUCAGUCCCUUCCCACCCCUCUUGCUUGUCUUACUUGUCUUAUUUAUUCUCCAACAGCACUCCAGGCAGCCCUUGUCCACGGGCUCUCCUUGCACAGCCAAGCUUCUUGAAAGGCCUGUCUACACUUGCUGUCUUCCUUCCUCACCUCCAAUUUCCUCUUCAACCCACUGCUUCCUGACUCGCUCUACUCCGUGGAAGCACGCUCACAAAGGUUCCCAGUGCCCCCGACAAGCCCCUGCUGGUGUCUCCAUCUCCUGCCAAGCAUCCUCCAGUGCCUCCUCCUGUGGGCCUGGCCUCAGGGCUAUGGACAGACUCCUGUCCCAUCCCAGAGACCCCUCGUGAUCGUGCCCUGGCACGUGGGCCGUGGCCCGGCUGGGUCGGCUGAAGAACUGCGGAUGGAAGCUGCGGAAGAGGCCCUGAUGGGGCCCACCAUCCCGGACCCAAGUCUUCUUCCUGGCGGGCCUCUCGUCUCCUUCCUGGUUUGGGCGGAAGCCAUCACCUGGAUGCCUACGUGGGAAGGGACCUCGAAUGUGGGACCCCAGCCCCUCUCCAGCUCGAAAUCCCUCCACAGCCACGGGGACACCCUGCACCUAUUCCCACGGGACAGGCUGGACCCAGAGACUCUGGACCCGGGGCCUCCCCUUGAGUAGAGACCCGCCCUCUGACUGAUGGACGCCGCUGACCUGGGGUCAGACCCGUGGGCUGGACCCCUGCCCACCCCGCAGGAACCCUGAGGCCUAGGGGAGCUGUUGAGCCUUCAGUGUCUGCAUGUGGGAAGUGGGCUCCUUCACCUACCUCACAGGGCUGUUGUGAGGGGCGCUGUGAUGCGGUUCCAAAGCACAGGGCUUGGCGCACCCCACUGUGCUCUCAAUAAAUGUGUUUCCUGUCUUAACAA
rnacentral:lncRNA from 1 species